rnacentral:rRNA from 1 species
CCUACGGGUGGCAGCAGUGGGGAAUAUUGGACAAUGGGCGAAAGCCUGAUCCAGCCAUGCCGCGUGUGUGAAGAAGGCCUUCGGGUUGUAAAGCACUUUCAGUGGGGAAGAAAGCCUUGGGGCUAAUACCCUCGAGGAAGGACAUCACCCACAGAAGAAGCACCGGCUAACUCCGUGCCAGCAGCCGCGGUAAUACGGAGGGUGCGAGCGUUAAUCGGAAUUACUGGGCGUAAAGCGCGCGUAGGCGGUCUGAUAAGCCGGUUGUGAAAGCCCCGGGCUCAACCUGGGAACGGCAUCCGGAACUGUCAGGCUAGAGUGCAGGAGAGGAAGGUAGAAUUCCCGGUGUAGCGGUGAAAUGCGUAGAGAUCGGGAGGAAUACCAGUAGCGAAGGCGGCCUUCUGGACUGACACUGACGCUGAGGUGCGAAAGCGUGGGUAGCAAACAGGAUUAGAUACCCUGGUAGUC